rnacentral:rRNA from 1 species
GCAACCUGCCCCGAAGACCGGAAUAACCCCGGGAAACCGGAGUUAAUACCGGAUACCCCACCGGUUACAUGCCUGGCGAGGAAAUGAUUCGCUUCGGGAGGGGCUCGCGGCCUAUCAGCUUGUUGGCGAGGUAACGGCUCACCAAGGCUUCGACGGGUAGCUGUUCUGAGAGGACGAUCAGCCACACUGGGACUGAGACACGGCCCAGACUCCUACGGGAGGCAGCAGUAGGGAAUCUUGCGCAAUGGGCGAAAGCCUGACGCAGCAACGCCGCGUGGGGGAUGAAGGCCUUCGGGUUGUAAACUCCUUUUAGUGGGAACGAAAUUGACGGUACCCACAG